rnacentral:rRNA from 1 species
AUUGAACGCUGGCGGCAGGCCUAACACAUGCAAGUCGAGCGGAUGAAGGGAGCUUGCUCCUGGAUUCAGCGGCGGACGGGUGAGUAAUGCAUAGGAAUCUGCCUGGUAGUGGGGGAUAACGUCCGGAAACGGGCGCUAUACUGCAUACGUCCUGUGGGAGAAAGCGGGGGAUCUUCGGACCUCACGCUAUCAGACGAGCCUAGGUCGGAUUAGCUAGUUGGUGGGGUAAAGGCCUACCAAGGCGACGAUCCGUAACUGGUCUGAGAGGAUGAUCAGUCACACUGGAACUGAGACACGGUCCAGACUCCUACGGGAGGCAGCAGUGGGGAAUAUUGGACAAUGGGCGAAAGCCUGAUCCAGCCAUGCCGCGUGUGUGAAGAAGGUCUUCGGAUUGUAAAGCACUUUAAGUUGGGAGGAAGGGCAGUAAGUUAAUACCUGGCUGUUUUGACGUUACCAACAGAAUAAGCACCGGCUAACUUCGUG